AGAGGAAGUAAAAAAGUUACAUAAGAAACAGGAGAAGGAACAAGAAACGAUUAAAAGCCCAAAUCUUCAUGAAAAAAUACAAAAAUUAAGAUUAACAGAUUCAAUGUGGUUUUUCUGAAAUCCAAGUAAAAUAAACCAACCAAAAUAAGAUUUGUAGUUUUUUUUUUUCCUCUAAAUUUUAUGUAUGUAGUUAAAAACUUCAAUUAAAGAAUGUAAAAACCCAGCACCAUGAAUUAAAGCUAUGGUAAUUAGCUAAUUCUAGUAAUAAAAUUCGACCAAUCACCAAAUAAAUCCACAUGUCAUUGAGGUAAACAAGAACAAAAUUCUUCCAGUUUCUCAGACUAAACAGAAAUCCAGGAAGCAGCGCGGGGGGUGGGGUGUAAACUACUUUUCCUACUGAAAUUAAGGAUCAAAGGGAUUAAUGAAGACGCAUAUAUUAAAAAAAUAUUUUCAUCCCCCAAAACUGAAAAAACACAAACUUCUGAUGUUGGUGCAAAGAUGAACCCAGUUACCCUUGGAUUGAGUGAACCAGGAGA
rnacentral:misc_RNA from 1 species